UGGGGAAUCUUGGACAAUGGGCGCAAGCCUGAUCCAGCCAUGCCGCGUGGAUGAUGAAGGCCUUAGGGUUGUAAAAUCCUUUCGUGGGGGACGAUAAUGACGGUACCCCAAGAAGAAGCUCCGGCUAACUUCGUGCCAGCAGCCGCGGUAAUACGAAGGGGGCUAGCGUUGUUCGGAUUUACUGGGCGUAAAGCGCGUGUAGGCGGGUCGUUAAGUUGGGGGUGAAAUCCCGAGGCUCAACCUCGGAACUGCCUUCAAAACUGGCGACCUGGACCCCAAGUAGAGGCAAGUGGAAUUGCGAGUGUAGAGGUGAAAUUCGUAGAUAUUCGCAGGAACACCAGUGGCGAAGGCGACUUGCUGGACUUGUGGUGACGCUGAGACGCGAAAGCGUGGGGAGCAAACAGGAUUAGAUACCCCCGUAGUCCCUGAGCGGGCUGGCAAGGCGCAU
rnacentral:rRNA from 1 species